rnacentral:lncRNA from 1 species
AUGGCUUUGAGCCUAACAAAGGGUUUAGACUCCUCCGCCUGCCAGAACAGUGAUUCCACCUCUCUUGGAACAGUCAUAUCUGCUGAGAAGUUUAAGGAAGGAACCUUGAGAAAGCAUCAGAGGUGGCUUUGGAGGUGGAAUCUAAAGAAACUAGAGGAGAGAAGAAAGGAAGAAUGGAUUACAAAAGAUGAGCAAGAUGCCUGGAAUUUCACACGUACAUCAUCUCUUUGGGUCACAGAGAAAGCCAUGCUUGAUUAACACUGAGGAUUUGCGUGCGACCUAUGGCUGGUGUCCAAUGACUUCUCCCAUUUUCAGAACACUUCUGUAAUGUUGCCGUCAGUGGUGAAUAUAUGACAUCCAAGGAAAGGUGAGGCCCUGACACUAAGAGGAAUACAAUGACCAGUCCAAGAGGACAACCCAGAACUGGACUUCUGGGGCCUGACUGAACUGGAUUGAGGUAUCGGACACACUUUUACAGAGGCUAUUUAGGAGGUAGAUUUUAUGAGCCUCAUUUUGCCAAUGAUAACACUAGGGCACAGAGAGGUUCAGCAACCCGCCCAAGGCCACACAGCCAGGAAGGAGCAGGAUCUGACCCCAGGCUGCCUGACUCCGGAGCCCAUGCUUGCAAACAUUCCACUGAACCAGGUCGUAAUCCCUGCUGAAUGAUUUCAGCUCUCCUGCUGUCUUCCCCCACCUCACUGUCUCUCGAUGGACGUUCACAUUUCCCGGCUGGCCCAGAAGCUGCGAUAGGGUGUUAUGAGCUGUUAGGUUAAGAGGGGUGAAGCCCUGUGAAAAGAAAACACACUUGCUCCCCUUCCUCAGCUGCGCUGGUCUUUCCUCCAGCUGAUCUUUCUCCUGUUAUAUAAAUGGAAUGUGAUACAAAUGUUUCCACCAUGAGUUUCCUUUCAAAAGAUGAA